rnacentral:lncRNA from 1 species
ACGAAACAGGUGGAUGAGACAUUCACACGUCGACGUAAAUAUAACCGUGGCAGGCAGAUCACAGGGCACACCGUGGUUAUUUUCGAUGCCUACUGUAGGGAGACGGGAGUGUAUGUACUGGAAGGUAAACUUCUGAUAUUACGGUUGGUUGUCUUUUUCAGAAUUCCGGCGACACACUUUGUUAUCUGUGAAGCUGAUGCCAGCAUUCGAUCGACAACAAGCCUCACAAUGUGUUAGAGAGUUACAUGCGACAUUAUAUAGCGCCAGGUUCAAUUAUUGUUUCCGAUUUCGCACCGUAAUAUCAAGGCUACACAUCGCUUGGAUAUUCAGUCUACUUGACGGUCAACCACAGCCCAGGGGAAGAGGAAGGUUCGUGAAUUCCAGCGACCCGGGAGCACAUAUUCAAAACAUCGAGGUGUGCAACCGCUGCGUCAAGCAACGUGUGCGAUCACUUCGGACGGACAAAGCCAUUCAAUAAUACUUAUGCAACUAUAUUUACCGCAAUCGGGUCCUCUCACCACUCCUUGGGAACAAUUUAAUAUAUUCUUGGCUGAUAUCAAGAAGGCAUACCCCG